GCUCCAGCUGGAAGGAAGUGCCUCUGAAUGGAGUCCAAGAGAAGAAACAAAGAAGAUGGAAACCAGAUGCCUUGAAGUCAUCCCUGUGUGAAAAACUUGAGGCAUACAGAAGUAAAGCAACUUGCCCUGAGUAACAUGGCCAGGAAGUGGCAGAACUAUGAUUCAAACCCAGAGAUGUGCUUUUAACUACUAUGCUAUGAAAUCAGAGAAAUCAAAGAAAUUGAAAAGCCUUUACUGAAAGAAGUGGUGUCACAUCCGCAAGCAGACUGACGGAAGAAGAGGACGACAAAGAGAAUGUGGAGAAAGGGCCAUCCUGGCGCAGCGUGGCCAAGACAUGCAUCCCUGCUAUACUCAAAUCACCGGAGAAACCAAGCUCAGCAUAACAGGAUCUUCCUCCAGGUCUUCUGUGUGAAGCGUGAACUUUAGUCAGGAGCAAAUCAGAAAGCAGCUUUCUUCAGCAGACUUCUGAGGGUCACGUGCCUAGGAAGAUGUUUCCGUAUGAGCCCUGCAUAGAAG